AGGAAGAAAAUGGAGUAUAGUAGUUGUAUCUUAUCUCCACCUCUCCCUGGUUGGGUCUUCUAAUUACUCAUUUAGUGGACAGACAGAAAUCAUUGUCGGCAAAGCCUUACCAAAGCUAAAAGUUCAUUCAUUCUCUCUCUCUCUCUCUCUCUCUCUCUAGAGAUUGAUCCUUUUUCACCAGUAUGAGCAUUGAUGCUUGGCAGAAAGAAGAAUGCCGUUGUGACUUGUGCUUCAAGAUGGGUACCCACACGAGUACCUGACAUCUCUUAGUUUUAAUCUUUGGCGCACAGCAGCUACUAGCAAGCAUGAGUGUAUUUUCUUUCCUACUCCGUUUGAGAUAAGAGAACCAUAGGGAUAGAGCAAACCAAAUAGCAGUUCCUUCAACAGAUUGGAUUUAAAUUGUGAAAGAAACACUUGAUCUUUUUUUUCUUCUGUUCCCUUUUUCUGUAUCUAUUUCAUGAAAGUAACCUGUGUCAUGUUUCCUUA